UUUUCCUUUGCCAGACGACUUGAAUGGGAACAGGGUGCUGUAAGCAGUAGAGUAGCCUCGUUGCUACGAUCUGCUGAGGCUAAGCCUUUGUUCUAUAGAUUUGUUUGACACAGUCAAACCACUUCUUCCCAGUACGCACCCAAUGGAGGUGUGUACCAUCGACAGUCCCCACACACGCACAAGUCCCAGCGUCGGCCAGCGCGUAGGUGGAUCUUAUCCUAUUCCCCUUUUCCUUCUCCUUUCCCUUCCCUUUCCCUUGCCCUGCUUCCCUCUUCCCUAUCCCUUACCCCCUCCCUCGCCCUCUCUUGGCCUCGCACAUGCGCGCGUGCACUUGCUCUCCAGCACUUGCACGCGCGCGCCCAGACGCUUGCCCCCCCGAACUUUCCCCUUUAUUACCGUGCCUACGACACUAGUCACCAUCUGCGGCCACAGAACCAUGAAAGCACCGUAUCCCGUCCGAUCUGCGAAAGUCAAGCAUA
rnacentral:misc_RNA from 1 species